GCAUGGUGUUAUGAAAUUGCUUGCGGACUACUAGCUGAAAUUGCUUGACAAACAGAGCAAAAGGGCCCAAACCCACUAUUGUGCAAGAAAAAGAAAGCAAAGCCCCAACCAUCAGCUGCUCAAUCAUCAGACCUGUGGGGAGAAGACGGAACUAAAAUGAUUCAGUUCAUCAUUGGCACCCCUGUAAACCAAACAGUGAAGAACACACCCCCUGUACUUUUGCGCUUGUUCUUUCUAUCUCCUAAAUUCUAUGCUUUCUGUGAUGAGCAUGCUUGGUACUAUAUAGAUACUGCUGUAGUAGUUCUAAUACAAUAUAUUACAAGAAUUCAUUGACAAAAAAGGUGUCAGUUCAUAUAUGUAUGCAGCAACUGUUCUGAUACUACUUCAGUAACCAAAAAAACACAAAAGUUCAACUAUACUUGUACAAAAUAGUUCAUUAUUUUAUUCUAUGACAGUCAAGAAAAACAGAAAAAAAGAGGUUCAUUGUGUGAUGAACAAUAGUCCCAACAAGUGUGGUAGAGAUGCAAAAAAGUGAUAGCAUAGUCGAUGCUAGUUUUCAAUCACUUUCUGAAGAAAACUGAAGUUGAUCAGAGUAC